AGCAGCCGCGGUAAUUCCAGCUCCAAUAGCGUAUAUUAAAGUUGUUGCAGUUAAAAAGCUCGUAGUUGAAUUUCGAGAUCAAAUUGUUGGUCGUGCCUUGGUACGCACUGGCAUUAUUGGUUUCUCCCUUCUGACGAACCAUAAUGUCAUUAAUUUGGUGUCUUGGGGAAUCAGGACUGUUACUUUGAAAAAAUUAGAGUGUUUAAAGCAGGCUCACGCUUGAAUACAUUAGCAUGGAAUAAUGAAAUAGGACGUUUGAUUCUAUUUUGUUGGUUUCUAGGAUCGACGUAAUGAUUAAUAGGGAUAGUUGGGGGCAUUAGUAUUCAAUUGUCAGAGGUGAAAUUCUUGGAUUUAUUGAAGACUAACUACUGCGAAAGCAUUUGCCAAGGAUGUUUUCAUUAAUCAAGAACGAAAGUUAGGGGAUCGAAGACGAUCAGAUACCGUCGUAGUCUUAACCAUAAACUAUGCCGACUAGGGAUCGGAUGAUGUUAAUUUUUAAUGACUCAUUCGGCGUCCG
rnacentral:rRNA from 1 species